rnacentral:rRNA from 1 species
UGGGGAAUUUUGGACAAUGGGCGAAAGCCUGAUCCAGCAAUGCCGCGUGUGUGAAGAAGGCCUUCGGGUUGUAAAGCACUUUUGUCCGGAAAGAAAUCCUUGGCUCUAAUACAGUCGGGGGAUGACGGUACCGGAAGAAUAAGCACCGGCUAACUACGUGCCAGCAGCCGCGGUAAUACGUAGGGUGCAAGCGUUAAUCGGAAUUACUGGGCGUAAAGCGUGCGCAGGCGGUUUGCUAAGACCGAUGUGAAAUCCCCGGGCUCAACCUGGGAACUGCAUUGGUGACUGGCAGGCUAGAGUAUGGCAGAGGGGGGUAGAAUUCCACGUGUAGCAGUGAAAUGCGUAGAGAUGUGGAGGAAUACCGAUGGCGAAGGCAGCCCCCUGGGCCAAUACUGACGCUCAUGCACGAAAGCGUGGGGAGCAAACAGGAUUAGAUACCCUGGUAGUCCACGCCCUAAAACGAUGUCAACUAGUUGUUGGGGAUUCAUUUCCUUAGUAACGUAGCUAACGCGUGAAGUUGACCGCCUGGGGAGUACGGUCGCAAGAUUAAAACUCAAAGGAAUUGACGGGGUCAUAGCUGUUUCCUU